GACGAACGCUGGCGGCGUGCUUAACACAUGCAAGUCGAACGGAAAGGCCCUGCUUUUGUGGGGUGCUCGAGUGGCGAACGGGUGAGUAACACGUGAGUAACCUGCCCUUGACUUUGGGAUAACUUCAGGAAACUGGGGCUAAUACCGGAUAGGAGCUCCUGCUGCAUGGUGGGGGUUGGAAAGUUUCGGCGGUUGGGGAUGGACUCGCGGCUUAUCAGCUUGUUGGUGGGGUAGUGGCUUACCAAGGCUUUGACGGGUAGCCGGCCUGAGAGGGCGACCGGCCACAUUGGGACUGAGAUACGGCCCAGACUCCUACGGGAGGCAGCAGUGGGGAAGAAUGCACAAUGGGCGGAAGCCUGAUGCAGCAACGCCGCGUGCGGGAUGACGGCCUUCGGGUUGUAAACCGCUUUCGCCUGUGACGAAGCGUGAGUGGCGGUAAUGGGUAAAGAAGCACCGGCUAACUACGUG
rnacentral:rRNA from 1 species